ACCGAGUUUGGUUGCGUGGGCUUGUAACCCAAGUGGGGCCAUUAAGGUGGUGUGGAUGUUUAGUGUGGACUCUGAGUUUGGGUCUAUGAUGUGCCCUUGCUGACCCUGCCCGUUCCAAGUUGGUAGUGGCAUGUGUGGCCCAAGCGAAAGCUCGGCCUUCACUGGACCUGAAGUGGCAGGAACGGCAUGAGGCUAGCUUCACAGAGCAACAAUCACUGCCCGCUUCCAACGGUGGAAGGAUAACAGGCCGCUACAUCACGAGCCCGACCUGGACCCUGAGGAGCCGGCGGGAGGAUCG
rnacentral:SRP_RNA from 2 species